AUGCUGUGCAUACAGAGAACUGAUGAAGAGUUAGUGUGCUUCUGUGUACAUAUGAGUGUUGGGGCAAGAGAAGAUGCAGAGCGUGGAAAGCAUGGUCCGGUCUGUACUAGUAAGCUGUCUCUGAGGGAGGGCAGGAGGGGAAAGAUAGAGAGACUCCAGAGGAGCAGAGGGCUGCACUGUGGGCGAGUUGGAAGGAGUCCUGAGGGUGCUGCACGUGAUCCUGCCCAGGACCAGGAAGGUGGAAGAAGAUGAAUAUGAAGAUUCAUCAUCAAACCAAAAGUGGGUCUUGGCUCCGAAAUCCCAAGACACAGAUGUGACUCUUAUUCUCAACAAGUUGCUAAGAGAAUAUGAUAAGAAGCUGAGGCCAGAUAUUGGAAGUGAGUGAUGUUUGCUAUUUUAGUAGGAAACAUAGUGUGAUAUAUUUUUAAAGUUUUAAUUUUAAGUAAUUAUGAAUUUUCAGGGAGUGGCAAAGAUAGUGCAGAGUCACGCAAUUCAUGGGUGUUGAACUAAGAGUUGACAUUGGCAGAGUGUGUGUACAUGGCUCCACAUUGUCUUGUCACAUGUGGGUCUGUGUAAUGAUACUGUAAUUGAGAUGCAGAACGGUUUCAUCACCAUGAAGUUUCCCUUCCUGCUAUUGCUUUAGAGUCUCAUCUGUUUCGCGCCUCCAAACUUUCCAACCUGUUAACCAGUAAUUUAGUCCUUAUUUCUAUGAUUUUGUCAUUUUGAGAAUGGGGCCUAUGUGCAGUCAUUUAGUACCUGACUUUUUCGGGUUGGCUUUUCUUUCCUCAGCAAAGUGAUUUUGGGAUCCAUUCAAGUUGUUGCAUGUAUCAGUAGUUUGUUUUACUUAUUGCUAAGUAAUCUUCCAUGCUAUGGACGGACCAUAGUUUGUUUAAUGUUUAUUGAGGAACAUAUUGGUUAUUCCCAGUUUUUGUCUAUUACAAAUAAAAUGACUGUGUGCGUUAGUAAGCAUACAGGGUUUUUUCCCCAAUCUAUAUAUUACUUUUUCACUUCUAAUGUAUAUUUUGAAAUAUAAACUCUAUGAAUUUUAAUAUAGUUUAACAUAAUGAUCAUUUUUUGAAAUAUUAUCUGUACUGAUAACAUGAAAAUAUUUUCUUAUGAUUCAGAAGCUUUACUGUUUAUUUUUUAUUUAUUUUAUUUGGAGGCUAAUUACUUUACAAUAUUGUAGUGGUUUUGCCAUACAUUACACUAAUCAGCCAUGAGUGUACAUGUGUUCCUUAUCCUGAACCACCCUCCCACCUCCCUCCCCAUCCCAUCCCUCAGGGUCAUCCCAGUGCACCAGCCCUGAGCACCCUGUCUCAUGCAUUGAAACUGGACUGGCGAUCUUUUUCACAUAUGAUAAUAUGCAUGUUUCGAUGCUAUUCUCUCAAAUCAUCCCACCCUCACCUUCUCCCACAGAGUCCAAAAGACUGUUCUAUACAUCUGUGUCUCUUUUACUGUCUCACAUACUGUAUUGGUAUUUUUCUUUCUGGCUUAUUUCACUCUGUAUAAUAGUCUCUAAUUUCAUCCACCUCAUUAGAACUGAUUCAAAUGCAUUCUUUUUAAUAGCUGAGUAAUACUCCAUUGUGUAUAUGUACCACAGCUUUCUUAUCCACUCUUCUGCUGAUGGACCUCUAGGUUGCUUCCAUGUCCUGGCUAUUAUAAACAGUGCUGUGAUGAACACUGGGGUACAUGUGUCUCUUUCGAUUCUGGUUUCCUCCGUGUGUAUGCCCAGCAGUGGGAUUGCUGGGUCAUAAGGUAGUUCUAUUUGCAGUUUUUGAAGAAAUCUCCACAGUGUUCUCCAUAGUGGCUGUACUAGUUUGCAUUCCCACCAACAGUGUAAGAGGGUUCCCUUUUCUCCACACCCUCUCCAGCAUUUAUUGCUUGUAGACUUUUGGAUUGCAG
rnacentral:lncRNA from 1 species